CAUGGGAGCCCAAAGCGAAGACCUAUGCAAUAAUAUUGUUUAAAAGGAGCUUAUAAAUAUUAAAAGUAGUCAUCCACGUGUGUUGCAGUAUAAAUCCUGUGUUCCCAAGGAUAUGCAGAUUGAGAAAGGAAGUGAUGUCACAGUGGGAACUUCCAUGUAAGGACAGGGACGUCACUCCUUCUCUGCUCCUGCUCACAGUGACCCUGAUCUGGUAAAGCCCCCAUCCUGCCCUGACUCUGCCAUGGGCACCAGGCUCCUCUGUUGGGCAGCCCUCUGCCUCCUGAGAGCAGAUCACACAGGUGCUGGAGUCUCCCAGUCCCCCAGUAACAAGGUCACAGAGAAGGGAAAGGAUGUAGUUCUCAGGUGUGACCCAAUUUCAGGUCAUAAUGCCCUUUAUUGGUACCGACAGAGCCUGGGGAAGGGCCUGGAGUUUCUAAUUUACUUCCAAGGCAAGGAUGCACCAGACAAAUCAGGGCUGCCCAGUGAUCGGUUCUUUGCAGAGAGAGAUGGGGGAUCCUUCUCCACUCUGCAGAUCCGGCGCACAGAGCAGAAGGACUCGGCUGUGUAUCUCUGUGCCAGCAGCUUAGCCACAGUGUGGCAGAGUCACCUCCUUCCUGCUCACAAACCUCAUCCUUCUCUCCCCUUGCAGCUCCUAGAGACCCUUAACAGAGGCCUCCCUUUGUUCCUCCCUCCUCAAAGGAAACAAGUAGAUUUGGACCUCGGCUGUCCUUAG